rnacentral:rRNA from 1 species
AACGAACGCUGGCGGCAGGCCUAACACAUGCAAGUCGAGCGAAGUCUUCGGACUUAGCGGCGGACGGGUGAGUAACGCGUGGGAACAUACCCUUUGGUACGGAAUAGCCUCGGGAAACUGGGAGUAAUACCGUAUGUGCCCUUCGGGGGAAAGAUUUAUCGCCAAAGGAUUGGCCCGCGUUGGAUUAGGUAGUUGGUGGGGUAAUGGCCUACCAAGCCGACGAUCCAUAGCUGGUUUGAGAGGAUGAUCAGCCACACUGGGACUGAGACACGGCCCAGACUCCUACGGGAGGCAGCAGUGGGGAAUCUUAGACAAUGGGCGCAAGCCUGAUCUAGCCAUGCCGCGUGAUCGAUGAAGGCCUUAGGGUUGUAAAGAUCUUUCAGCUGGGAAGAUAAUGACGGUAC